GACGAACGCUGGCGGCGUGCUUAACACAUGCAAGUCGAACGGAAAGGCCCUGCUUUUGUGGGGUGCUCGAGUGGCGAAGGGGUGAGUAACACGUGAGUAACCUGCCCUUGACUUUGGGAUAACUUCAGGAAACUGGGGCUAAUACCGGAUAGGAGCUCCUGCUGCAUGGUGGGGGUUGGAAAGUUUCGGCGGUUGGGGAUGGACUCGCGGCUUAUCAGCUUGUUGGUGGGGUAGUGGCUUACCAAGGCUUUGACGGGUAGCCGGCCUGAGAGGGUGACCGGCCACAUUGGGACUGAGAUACGGACCAGACUCCUACGGGAGGCAGCAGUGGGGAAUAUUGCACAAUGGGCGGAAGCCUGAUGCAGCAACGCCGCGUGCGGGAUGACGGCCUUCGGGUUGUAAACCGCUUUCGCCUGUGACGAAGCGUGAGUGACGGUAAUGGGUAAAGAAGCACCGGCUAACUACGUG
rnacentral:rRNA from 1 species